rnacentral:rRNA from 1 species
UUAGGUAGCAUAAAAAUGGUCCAAACGACUGUUUACCAAAAACACAGGUCUCUGCAAAUCUGUAAAGAGAAGUAUAGGGACUGACACCUGCCCGGUGCUGGAAGGUUAAGAGGAGAUGUUAGUUUAUACGAAGCAUUGAAUUUAAGCCCCAGUAAACGGCGGCCGUAACUAUAACGGUCCUAAGGUAGCGAAAUUCCUUGUCGGGUAAGUUCCGACCCGCACGAAUGGUGUAACGAUUUGGACGCUGUCUCAACG